rnacentral:lncRNA from 1 species
GCAAAUGACCCAGAGGGCAGCAUGUUGUGUGAAUCAAUUAACGUUGGAACACUUCUCACCAAGACAGGCUGCUGAGAGAUGACCCCUUCAAAUAUAUGUCAGAAGAAGAACAAGCUUUAAUUGAUGGAAAAGAAAAAAAAAAAAAACAUGAAGAAGAGAGAGAGAGAAAUGUAAUCCACAGAGAGCUCAAUCCCUAGAAAGGCACAGGGGACCUCAAGGAACCUGUGGAUUAUUGAAGGGACCUGGGGACCUUUAGCAAGAUUGUGGUGACAGAGGGGGAGAAGGACAGAAAUUUAGAAAAAAGGGGCAAGCAACAGAGUUUUUGAGUUCAUCUUUGUUUAUUUCAGUUGGAUGUGGAAUGGACUUGAGAAUAAGAAUUAAAUUUGGCAGAGAAGAGUAAAUUUAUAUUAGAAAAGUGAUAGGCUCUAUUUUUAUCAAAAUGGGAAUCAUGUUUAACCUUUGUUGAGGUUAAAAUCCCUUCCUUCCUUCCUUCUUUCCAGUCUUCCUUCCUUCCACUCUUCUUUCCUUCCUUACUUCUAUCCUUCCUUCUUUCCUUCCCUUGCCUUCCUUCCUUCCUUACUUUGUUCAUUCCUUCCUUCCUUCCAUCCUUCUUUUCCACCUUCCUUAUAUCAAACAGCUAAUAAAUAGAAGUAAUUGUACUAAAAACUGGGCAUAAGUAGAAACUACACAGUCCCAACAGUGUAGGAGCACAUAGCAUGAAAGAGAAAAUCAAAGAUAUAAACAAGCAAAAUCUAUAGAUACAGCAUCAAGUAGGGACACAGGGAAGGACUAUGGACUAUCAAAGUUACUGGGGUGAUAAAGAAGGGCUUCGGAGGAAACGAUAUUCAGGUAAGAAUUUUCACGUCCUUCAGUUUAUAUUGUUUACUUAGUGCUGCAUUAUUAAAGAACUCCAAGCACCCCGUUCAUCUUCAUCAUCUUCAUGUUUUCCUUAACAUGACGAAUGAAUUCAAGAUCAGACAGUAGAUGGUGCUGUUAUUUCAAAGACUGUACAGUCCCCAAGACUUCCAGAUUAUUUUAAGACUACAGAAACAAAAUGUCAAAAUUCAUCUAGAUGACAGAUACAGGACUGUUAUCAUGGUACAGGCUAUUGCAUUGCCUUUGGCUAUUGGAAUUGUUUUCCUUUCCCCUUAGAUUGUUUAAGAAGGAAAGCAAUCAUUUCACUACAGGAAGUUCAUUGGAGGAAAGCGGAGUUACA